rnacentral:rRNA from 1 species
AGCGAACGCUGGCGGCAGGCUUAACACAUGCAAGUCGAGCGGGCAUCUUCGGAUGUCAGCGGCAGACGGGUGAGUAACACGUGGGAACGUACCCUUCGGUUCGGAACAACUCUGGGAAACUGGAGCUAAUACCGGAUACGCCCUUAUGGGGAAAGGUUUACUGCCGAAGGAUCGGCCCACGUCUGAUUAGCUAGUUGGUGGGGUAACGGCCUACCAAGGCGACGAUCAGUAGCUGGUCUGAGAGGAUGAUCAGCCACACUGGGACUGAGACACGGCCCAGACUCCUACGGGAGGCAGCAGUGGGGAAUAUUGGACAAUGGGCGCAAGCCUUAUCCAGCCAUGCCGCGUGAGUGAUGAAGGCCUUAGGGUUGUAAAGCUCUUUUGUCCGGGACGAUAAUGACGGUACCGGAAGAAUAAGCCCCGGCUAACUUCGUG